rnacentral:rRNA from 1 species
GACGAACGCUGGCGGCGUGCUUAACACAUGCAAGUCGAACGGUGAAGCGAGUGCUUGCACUCGUGGAUCAGUGGCGAACGGGUGAGUAACACGUGAGUAACCUGCCCAUCACUCUGGGAUAAGCACUGGAAACGGUGUCUAAUACUGGAUACGACCAACCCUUGCAUGGGGUGUUGGUGGAAAGAUUUAUCGGUGAUGGAUGGACUCACGGCCUAUCAGCUUGUUGGCGGGGUAAUGGCCCACCAAGGCGACGACGGGUAGCCGGCCUGAGAGGGUGACCGGCCACACUGGGACUGAGACACGGCCCAGACUCCUACGGGAGGCAGCAGUGGGGAAUAUUGCACAAUGGGCGAAAGCCUGAUGCAGCGACGCCGCGUGAGGGAUGACGGCCUUCGGGUUGUAAACCUCUUUCAGCAGGGAAGAAGCGAAAGUGACGGUACCUGCAGAAGAAGCACCGGCUAACUACGUG